AUGGCUCGUAACGAGGAGAAAGCGCAGUCCUUGCUGAACCGCUUCACCACGAUGAAGCAGGAGGAGAAGAGCAAGCCCCGCGAGCGCCGGCCGUACCUCGCCUCCCAGUGCCGGGACCUCGCCGACGCCGACCGCUGGCGUGGUGAGGUCCUGCGCGAGAUCGGCGUCAGGUUGGCCGAGAUCCAGAACGAGGGACUCGGGGAGCACCGCCUCCGAGAUCUCAACGACCAGAUCAACAAGCUUCUCCGCGAGCGCAGCCACUGGGAGCGCCGCAUCCUCGAGCUCGGAGGCCACGACUACUCUCGGAGCUCCAACGCCGCCCUGAUGACCGACCUCGACGGCAACAUCGUCGCCAUCCCCAACCCCUCGGGCCGUGGACCGGGCUACCGCUACUUUGGCGCUGCCAAGAAGCUCCCCGGCGUCCGUGAGCUAUUUGACAAGGCACUUGACGUCCGCAAGCGCGGCACCCGCUACGGGAUUCACAAGCGCAUCAAUGCCGGGUACUGCAGAUACUAUUACUAUGACGACGAGGACGGUGCGCUUGAACCCCAUGAGGCUGCUGCUGAGAAGCGCAUGCGGCACGAGGUUGUCACGGAGUGGCACCGUGUGGCGCGGGAGGCCAUGAAGAAUGUGGCGAGUGGCGAGGUGGCGGCUGCAGCAGGUGGGAGUGGUGGGGAGGCUGCUACUGCUAGAGAGGUGCUGUUCGAGGAGGUGGAGGAGGAGGUUGAGGAGGAGAUUGAGCGAACGGUGCUAGAGAAGAAGGAGGAGCUGCUGAGCAAGUACACAAGUGAUGCCCUGCAAGGCGAGCUGAUGGGGGCCAAGGAGAUAUGCUCAACGUGCAACGCUAGGACUAGCUAG
rnacentral:rRNA from 1 species